GUCAACAUCUGUUUUUUUUUUUAUUCACCUGACUCUAGUUGCGAAAAAAGGUCUUUCCAUUGCAGUUUUGCGUGAUAUACCAGUUGCGCUACGCCCGAAAUACCACCUCUUGACAGCGC